rnacentral:rRNA from 1 species
GAUGAACGUUGGCGGUGUGCCUAAUACAUGCAAGUCGAACGGAGAUUGUAGCAAUACGGUCUUAGUGGCGAACGGGUGAGUAACGCGUUGGUGAUCUGCCUCGAAGUGUGGAAUAACGAUUCGAAAGAAUCGCUAAUACCGCAUAGUCUCUCUUUUUCCAGAAAUUUGAGAGUAAAGGAUUUAUUCGCUUUGAGAGGAGCCUGCGUCCCAUCAGCUAGUUGGUAAGGUAAUGGCCUACCAAGGCGAUGACGGGUAGGGGACCUGAGAGGGUGGCCCCCCACAAUGGAACUGAACACGGUCCAUACACCUACGGGUGGCAGCAGUAGGGAAUAUUAGAAAUGGACGAAAGUCUGAUCUAGCAACACCGCGUGUGCGAAGAAGGCC